ACAUACGACCAUAGCUCGUAGAGAACUGAGGGUCCCGUCCGCUCCCCUAUACAUAAGCUACGAAGCGCCAGAUCAGUAGUUGGGUCGGUGACGACCAGCGAAUCCCUGGUGUUGUAUGUU
rnacentral:rRNA from 1 species